GUCUACGGCCAUACCACCCUGAACACGCCCGAUCUCGUCUGAUCUCGGAAGGAAACUCUGUUUUCACACUCUAUGCUUAGUGCCCGUUGAGU
rnacentral:rRNA from 1 species